AGGUGUCAAAAGCCAAUUUGGACUUUUCUUCUUAUGAAACCUUUAUUAGCCUUUAAUAAAAAAAAAAAAAAUUUAAAAAAUAAUGAAAUGAUCAUAUAUGGCAAAGGGUGGCCAGCCAUGUGGUGUUUUAGAGUGGUGUGAACCCAAUUCUAUAAAGUUUAACUCCCAUUUUAAUUAAGAAGUCAAGUGGGCAAGUGGGUAGAAAAGCACUCAAGUGUUUUGUGAUAUUUUGAAGAGUUGUGUGAGCCAUUCUAACCCCCAAAUCCGACCACUCUCCCUCUCUCAUUCACUCUCAUCUGAUUUUUUAAGACCAUUCAAAGUGUUCUCUCAAUAUUCAACCUCAAGAACACCAAGGAAAACUUGGAGGCUAAGUCUUGGUCUAGGAAGUAUUUUCCCUAAGUUGGUUAGGGUUUUUGAAAGGUUUUGGAGGAGCCAAAGCUAAUAGGAAGGUCCAAACCUUAAGCAAGAACACCAAAGAGGUAAGUGCAAGGGCAAGGCAGAGCAGUGAGCGCUGGAGUCUUCCUUGCAAAUGUACAUGUGGACCGACCUUUUGGGAAGCCGUUUUAUUUUUGGAAAUGUUGUAUAAUUUUCCUAAACAAGGCUCACUCUACUCUUUAUAAAAUUUGUUUGUAACUAAAUGUUAAGUAUGGCCAUACGACUUUUUAAAAAGUUUUUUUUUUAUAUGGGUUUUUGAGACAUUUUGUUAAAUGAAAACAUUUAUA